rnacentral:rRNA from 1 species
UACGUAGGGUGCAAGCGUUAAUCGGAAUUACUGGGCGUAAAGCGUGCGCAGGCGGUUAUGUAAGACAGAUGUGAAAUGCCCGGGCUUAACCUGGGAACUGCAUUUGUGACUGCAUGGCUAGAGUUUGGCAGAGGGGGGUAGAAUUCCACGUGUAGCAGUGAAAUGCGUAGAUAUGUGGAGGAACACCGAUGGCGAAGGCAGCCCCUGGGUCAAGACUGACGCUCAUGCACGAAAGCGUGGGGAGCAAACAGG